CGCCUUGCCAGCCCGCUCAGAAUUAAAGGAAUUGACGGGGCCCGCACAAGCGGUGGAGUAUGUGGUUUAAUUCGAUGCAACGCGAAGAACCUUACCUGGUCUUGACAUCCCGGAGACCCUUAGGAAACUAGGGGGUGCUUCCAUCUGGAAGAAUCUGGAGACAGGUGCUGCAUGGCUGUCGUCAGCUCGUGUCGUGAGAUGUUGGGUUAAGUCCCGCAACGAGCGCAACCCUUGCCUUUAGUUGCCAGCAGUUCGGCUGGGCACUCUAAAGGGACUGCCGGUGUUAAACCGGAGGAAGGUGGGGAUGACGUCAAGUCCUCAUGGCCUUUAUGACCAGGGCUACACACGUACUACAAUGGCCGAUACAAAGGGCAGCGACACUGCGAGGUGAAGCCAAUCCCGUAAAAUCGGUCUCAGUCCGGAUUGGAGUCUGCAACUCGACUCCAUGAAGUUGGAAUCGCUAGUAAUCGUGGAUCAGCAUGCCACGGUGAAUACGUUCCCGGGCCUU
rnacentral:rRNA from 1 species